rnacentral:rRNA from 1 species
GCGGUGGUUCAGCUGAUAUAGCCAUGACAAGUCGAGCGGAUGAAGGGAGCUUGCUCCUGGAUUCAGCGGCGGUAGGGUGAGUAAUGCCUAGGAAUCUGCCUGGUAGUGGGGGAUAACGUCCGGAAACGGGCGCUAAUACCGCAUACGUCCUGAGGGAGAAAGUGGGGGAUCUUCGGACCUCACGCUAUCAGAUGAGCCUAGGUCGGAUUAGCUAGUUGGUGGGGUAAAGGCCUACCAAGGCGACGAUCCGUAACUGGUCUGAGAGGAUGAUCAGUCACACUGGAACUGAGACACGGUCCAGACUCCUACGGGAGGCAGCAGUGGGGAAUAUUGGACAAUGGGCGAAAGCCUGAUCCAGCCAUGCCGCGUGUGUGAAGAAGGUCUUCGGAUUGUAAAGCACUUUAAGUUGGGAGGAAGGGCAGUAAGUUAAUACCUUGCUGUUUUGACGUUACCAACAGAAUAAGCACCGGCUAACUUCGUGCCAGCAGCCGCGGUAAUACGAAGGGUGCAAGCGUUAAUCGGAAUUACUGGGCGUAAAGCGCGCGUAGGUGGUUCAGCAAGUUGGAUGUGAAAUCCCCGGGCUCAACCUGGGGAACUGCAUCCAAAACUACUGAGCUAGAGUACGGUAGAGGGUGGUGGAAUUUCCUGUGUAGCGGUGAAAUGCGUAGAUAUAGGAAGGAACACCAGUGGCGAAGGCGACCACCUGGACUGAUACUGACACUGAGGUG